rnacentral:rRNA from 1 species
AACGAACGCUGGCGGCAGGCCUAACACAUGCAAGUCGAACGAACCUUUCGGGGUUAGUGGCGGACGGGUGGGUAACACGUGGGAACGUGCCUUUAGGUUCGGAAUAACUCAGGGAAACUUGUGCUAAUACCGAAUGUGCCCUCCGGGGGAAAGAUUUAUCGCCUUUAGAGCGGCCCGCGUCGGAUUAGCUAGUUGGUUGCGGUAAUGGCUCACCAAGGCGACGAUCAGUAGCUGGUCUGAGAGGAUGAGCCGCGACAUUGGGUCUGAGACACGGCCCAAACUCCUACGGGAGGCAGCAGUGGGGAAUCUUGCGCAAUGGGCGAAAGCCUGACGCAGCCAUGCCGCGUGAAUGAUGAAGGUCUUAGGAUUGUAAAAUUCUUUCACCGGGGACGAUAAUGACGGUACCCGGAGAAGAAGCCCCGACUAACUUCGUG